rnacentral:rRNA from 1 species
AUUGAACGCUGGCGGCAGGCCUAACACAUGCAAGUCGAGCGGAUGAAGGGAGCUUGCUCCUGGAUUCAGCGGCGGACGGGUGAGUAAUGCCUAGGAAUCUGCCUGGUAGUGGGGGAUAACGUCCGGAAACGGGCGCUAAUACCGCAUACGUCCUGAGGGAGAAAGUGGGGGAUCUUCGGACCUCACGCUAUCAGAUGAGCCUAGGUCGGAUUAGCUAGUUGGUGGGGUAAAGGCCUACCAAGGCGACGAUCCGUAACUGGUCUGAGAGGAUGAUCAGUCACACUGGAACUGAGGCACGGUCCAGACUCCUACGGGAGGCAGCAGUGGGGAAUAUUGGACAAUGGGCGAAAGCCUGAUCCAGCCAUGCCGCGUGUGUGAAGAAGGUCUUCGGAUUGUAAAGCACUUUAAGUUGGGAGGAAGGGCAGUAAGUUAAUACCUUGCUGUUUUGACGUUACCAAAAGAAUAAGCACCGGCUAACUUCGUG